rnacentral:rRNA from 1 species
AGUGAGCGCUGGCGGUAGGCCUAACACAUGCAAGUCGAACGGCAGCACAGUAAGAGCUUGCUCUUACGGGUGGCGAGUGGCGGACGGGUGAGGAAUACAUCGGAAUCUACUUUUUCGUGGGGGAUAACGUAGGGAAACUUACGCUAAUACCGCAUACGACCUACGGGUGAAAGCAGGGGAUCUUCGGACCUUGCGCGAUUGAAUGAGCCGAUGUCGGAUUAGCUAGUUGGCGGGGUAAAGGCCCACCAAGGCGACGAUCCGUAGCUGGUCUGAGAGGAUGAUCAGCCACACUGGGAAUGAGAAAAGGUCCAGAAUCCUAAGGGAGGCAGCAGUGGGGAAUAUUGGACAAUGGGCGGAAGCCUGAUCCAGCCAUACCGCGUGGGUGAAGAAGGCCUUCGGGUUGUAAAGCCCUUUUGUUGGGAAAGAAAAGCAGCAGGUUAAUACCCCGCUGUUCUGACGGUACCCAAAGAAUAAGCACCGGCUAACUUCGUG